rnacentral:rRNA from 1 species
AAAUUGAAGAGUUUGAUCAUGGCUCAGAUUGAACGCUGGCGGCAGGCCUAACACAUGCAAGUCGAACGGUAACAGGAAGCAGCUUGCUGCUUUGCUGACGAGUGGCGGACGGGUGAGUAAUGUCUGGGAAACUGCCUGAUGGAGGGGGAUAACUACUGGAAACGGUGGCUAAUACCGCAUAAUGUCGCAAGACCAACGAGGGGGACCUUCGGGCCUCUUUCCAUCAGAUGUUCCCAGCUGGGAUUAGCUUGUUGGUGAGGUAACGG